UGCAUCUGUCUCAUUUUCUAUUAAGGGCCCUCUAGUAGAUUUUAAACAUAUCUAUCUAUCUAUCUAGAUAGAUAGAUAGAAAGUAUGGGUGUGUCUUUUUAUUCGAACCCCUCGCGCAGCUCCUUCUGCACACUGCACGACCCCCCCCCAACUGUCAUUCAGCCACGUGCGCCUACCGCCGCCUCCCACCGGCGAAAAGCACGCGCUGGAAUCUGCGGCUGGGAUUCAAACUUUGCCCGUUAUUCAAAAGCAGCAGCUUUCAUCGAAAGACUGGAUCAGACUGAGAGGGAUGUAGCGGAGGAUUUAACCGGACCAGCGAGGGACUGAGUGAGCUGUAUCCGCGCCUGGACGUGGAUUACCACCGUCUCCAGCCGUGGGAGAUUUUUUUUUUUCUCUGAAAAUAGGCGACUUUAGGCUCAGUUUGCUGCAGGUCCGCCUGCCCCCGCUAAGAGAUGUUAACCAAGAUGCUGGCUGGUUGAAAUACGAGCUCCUGUCUGUGUCAGAAAAUUGCCAAUUUUCUCCCAAACUGCGUUUCCCCCGUAAAUAAAAAAUUCUCUGGAGCUUUUUGUUGGAUAGUCAGAGUCGACUGUCAGUUGUUAAUUUGUUGGUGAUAACGAGAGACGGAGCUGGACACCGCCCGGACCCGUUAUAAGGCUGCCGGACUAGGAUUAAAGCACCCAGCCCUGCGUACUGGCGGCUGGAAACUGCGCACAUAACCGGGAAAUGUGGAAAUUGUAUCUGUGAAAUAGGCACCAUUUAGAAGAUUAGCCACAUGCCUCAGAGCAGUCUUUCAAAGAUCCAAACCUGCGUGGAUAAGUGAGAAGGUUAUUUGCACUCAAGGACACCCUCCGUGUUGGUGGUGGGUGUAGUUUCUUUGGGUUCGGAUGCACAAACUGCCCAGAUUUUUCGCGGGAUUGAAGGUAUUUUGUCUCACAGCUUCACUUUUCUUGGCUUUGGAUAUGCCUCUGGGGACUGCGCUGAAGUGAAACAGCACAUUUACAUGGAUGGCACGAGCGCUUACCUCCCUAUCACUUUAACGGAGUAACGUUAAUUGGGCUUUGGGAAGCGAAUGGGAGGCUAUCAGGAGUUUUUCAGCAGCCGCAUGACCCUUCUACCCACCCACCCUUCUUGCUGAGGAUCUAUGUGUUAGUGAGAGCUCGUCUUAGGGUUUGCGUGGUGAAACCACCGGCACCUGGAUUCCCGUUUCAUCCUUUUUUUAUUUUCUGCCUGGCUGGGCGCACGUCUGUUCCGGUAAUUCCGCUUCUGCUGCUGCUGUCCGUUCCCACACACACUCGAACACACUGUGGUUUAUACAGCCCCACAAACUACUAAGAUUGCCUCUCUCUCCCCGUGUGGAUGGGAGAGGAGUUGGGAUACGGAGCCUGAUCGCCCUUUCUGAAAUCCUGCCGGUUUUUUAUAUGUGAUUUAAUUCCUCCAUUAGAGGACGGAUCAGGAGUGCAGGAAAGGAUUCCUGGGGAAAAAGAGAAGACAAGAGGAGCGGAGCUGGAGAUCGAUGAAGGUAAGGCUGAUUGAUCGGCUGUUAAUAAUGCAGGGUGUGUGAGAUGGCGGACCGAGCUCUGCUAUGCAGCUGAUUUUUCUUGCCAGGGGGUGCCAGGCUUUUGCGGUGCCAACAAUAGUUUUAUUCUUAGUGCUGGGGAAAUGAAUCAUCGCUGUAAUCUGAUUAGACUGUGCCAUAACCUCGCUCUGUGUGUGACUGCUCUCUUUUCUGUGCCCGCGUUGGCACCCUUAGUGGACUCUACCAUCCUCUCAGGGUACAGAUCAUUUAGAACCCCCAAAACGCUGCUAAAUGUGUUCUCUCCCGUGGUUCAGAUGGUUAAAGGGUAAUUAUUAGGGUAAUUAUUAUUAUUAGGUAUUAGGUAAUUAUUAUUAUUGGGUCUUACUUCUGUGCUGCGAUGCUUUGGCCAGGCUGGCAGCCUCGCCGUGCCUGUAUGGGAAUGUGUGCGUGCUGAUCUCUAUCUUUGCGUGCAUGUACGUGUGGAUGCUCUCGCGCGUUAGUGUUAAUGUGUGUGGGGGCGCAGCAGUACGACGCAUUUUGGGGAAACCUUCUCUGUCUCUGUCUCACUCUCCUGUCUAUCCGUCUCACUCUCAGUUUCUUAAGCUGCCUCAUCAUGCCGCUUCAGUUGACUGGCGUUACAGCCUCAUCUAUUAUGCAGGAAGCUAGGAGAUGAGAACACAAGAGAGGAGGAGAGGUGAGGAGAGUGGUAAGGAAUGGAAGAAAUGAUGGAAAGAAAAAGAAGAAUACAAGGAAGUGGUCAGAGUAUGGGAGAGGUGUGUAGAUGGAGCAGUAGAGGGGGAGAUGGAGGGGUGUAUAUGGAGGGAUACAGGAGAGGACAAGGACAGAGGAAAGGAUAUUUCAAUGGAAAUGAGGAUUAGGAAAGAACAAAAGUGAGAUAAGGAAAGAUUGGAGAUGGGUUGUAAGGAUGAGGGUGAAGGGGGAAACGGUAGGGGAGCAGUAAGGCUGAAUAAGGUGGAAAUUACACAAGCUUCUCUUUAUGCAAUGUAUAUUAAAAAUGAAUCAAAUCUUACAUAAUUUCACUCAAGAUGAAGAGGUUUUAACUUGUACUUGUGGAGAAGAAAUCCGCUGAGAAAAGCUAAGAGUUUGUAUUGCAUUAUGCAGGCCAAGCAUUUGAGGGAGAUUUUAUGAAUAGGUUGGAUUAAAUCAUUUUUUCACAGAUUGAUACAAACAGUUCGUCCUUGGGAGAGUGCACAAGACAACACAACUGAACAGGAUAGAUAUUCUGCCUGGUAACACAAGCCUGCAAGAAGCCAGGGUGUGUUUAGGAACUAGAGACAGCUCCACACUGUGAGAGCUUCUGUUCCAAAGAAAGAUGGUGUAAAAAUAUCUCCACAGACAUCUGAAAAGGCUGCCUGUGGUCCAUGAAGGUUUCAGGCAACUUAAGCAGGACUGAGAACCGUGGAGAGCUGCAUACAGUAUGUCUAAACUACAGGGAGUGUUACAGAAAUGGGCCUGUGUACAGCGUUCCUACUGGCGUUUGGUUAAUGCAGAAAGUGUAUGUGGUUUUGUAUUCAUGGAGGGACAGGGCCAAGUUCAUCUUCAGCCUCAGUAUCCUUAUGAGCAUGUAAAGAUGUGCCAUGCUAUACCUUGGUUUAAUGACCAUGGAGAGCUCCGACAGUCUCAAUGCACAACAGUUGAAGCUCCACUUUCAGCACCACAGAGAGCUCCAGCUUGAUGUCUCUGCUGUGUAUUCAGCUCUGCUGUUAGAGCCAUGGAGAGCACUCAUGGGGUUCAAGUCGACUCGCUUGGACUUGUGCCUUUUAUGAAACCGGGCCCUCCCCAUUUUCACUCUGAUAAUGAGUGCUGUCAGGUUGAAGUCAUCCCCACAGCUUAAUAAAACAUCACUCAUCAAGGGGGGAGGAUUAGAUCAAGCUCAGCUAGCUCAGAGACAAACUCCACUCACUGCAGUAGAAUUGGUGACCCAAUGCAACCAUGGUUACACCCCAAACAAAAAAAGAAUAGGGGUUCCCACAAAUAAGUAUUUGGCAGACUCCACCAUUUUUCGUCAAUUCUUGUUUGUAGGCAUCUUAUUUUCUUUUUUCUCAGUGAUUGAUGGUUUUCUAUCUUAAUAAAAGCAGCAUCUGUCUGUUGAUGUCCUGUGAUGAACAGUAAACCAUCGAACCUGGACAGUAGGCCAGCAUCAGUGCAGAACGGCCUUUGAGGGGGUCUAAAAGCCCACUGCCACGCCAUACACAGAGCUCUCGGAUGGCUUUUGAUGAUGGGCUGCACAGGGACAUAGAUGGAGGCUCAAGGGGGCGUUUUUUUGAAAGGCACAUGGGGAGCUCUAAUAUGGUUAGGUUGCAACUGUUUGAUCCCUGUUCAGGACUAUGUGAAGCCCUGCUGUUGUCACAUUGGCAGUAAUUCAGCCAUGGUUUUGUGCCCAGCUUAAAGGGAAACCUGUAUGUUUUCAGCACCAUGGACAUUUCCAGCACAGCUGCUGUGGCAUGUUUAAUUUACUCUGGAUUUAUAGCAACACUUUAUUUAGCCAUAGUUUAAUCAUAUAAGAAUAUGUUUGGGGGCUCACAUUUUAAAGUGGUAUCAUUACCUUUGUGGGUUAGUAACCAUCCCCAACAGAAACUAUUCUAAGGUGCAGAAUAAUGUCCACAAAAUGAGGCUUUUGGCCUUUUGGAUAGCUCUGACUUUGCCAUUAAACUCCAGUAUGAGCUCCAGUUUCAGGACCAUGGAGAGCUCCUACACUAUGUCCCAGCUUUUUAUCGAUCUCUUAUUUCAGGACCAAGGAGAGGUCCCACAUGGUCACAGUACUUUUUGCUUGGGUAAUGUAUCAUGGAGAGCUCUAAUGUGGUUAUGUCACAACUGGUGAAGCUCUUGUGUCACGAUCACGCAAAACCCCUCUAUUAUUGAGCUGGCAGUAGUCAAGUAAUGAUUUCGGACCACAUAGUGCCUGAUUGAGGGUAUGACUGUAUGUUUUUUUUUAUCAAAUCAAAUCAGACUUUAUUUAUAAAGCGCUUCCAACAUGAAUGUGACUCAAAGUGCUUUACGAGUUAAAAACAAAAAAAUAUCAACGACAAUCGGUGAGUUUUGGCCGAUUAUCCAUUAGUCUCAACCUGGCUAAAAUUGGGCGAUUUAAUCGGCUAGCCGAUAAAUCGGUCAGGCCGUAGUUUUCAGCACAUGACGACAUUUGACGUCCUCGACUGCGAGGGCUCAGGAAUCUCUUAUAUGGGUUGCUUGUAGCUACCAUAUGCAUACAUUUGAACAAUCUUGCUAACACCUGAACCAAACAAGGUUUAACAAAAUUAUGAUUAACAGAUCAACAGACAAACUGACCAUAGCAAUUGUCUCAUCUUCAUAGACCUAGAAAUUAAAGCAUGAAACCUUCAAAACGUGUUCAAACAAUGCUGCUUCAAGAUGGACUUGAACAGAGGGAGUAAAGGACAAAAGGAUGUUGAAAUUGGAGCUAUACUUAGUGCUGAGGUCUGACAUUGAUCCAGUUCCCAUGGGAAGAGCAGGUCCACUUUGCAAACACAGUGAGCUCUAACACAGUAUCAGUGCCAUGAAUAGUUCUGUCAAACACAACCCAACUACCUGGAGUUGAGGAUCAAGUCUUGCUCUUAGAAGUGUUUUGAAAUCAUGGUAGUGGCCAGUAACCCUGGCUGCUCUCAUCGCAGAGGCCUACUGCAGGACCACAGAGAGCUCCUUGUGAUUAAUUGAGCUACACAGCCAUUGACAGAUCCACAAAGCCUCCUUCAUGUUGUUUGCUGUUUCAGGCGAUGAGUGCAGAAUUAGCAUGACAGUUUUACAGCCACUGGCAAGUCUUUAUUAAGAGUAUAAACAAAAGAACAAAAAGUGCCUUCGCAUAUCUAUUAAAGUUUUAUCAUGCAGCAAAUAAAACAGUUAGGCUGUGUUUCUUUUAGUCUGAAUAAUGGAGCAAGCUUUAAUGGUCUCUGUGGUAGUGCAAAGAAGCUGAACAGAUGCAGACAAAGCAAGAGGUCUUCAUCAGUCAGCAGUGUUUGCCUUUUCCUGCCACAUCAGAUGAAACCAGCGUGCUGAGCAUUAGGUUGAUGUAGAGGGAGCAGACACUGUUGUGCAAGGAUCAACCUGCAGAACAUCCUGUCAGCUGAGGUGUUAUUGAGCAAAUACUGAUUCCCAACCAUCCUCAGAGUCAGUCUUUAGCAGCUGACAAUGACCCCUGGCCCCCUUCUGUGGAAAGGCUUAAUGGAGGGGAGAAUAUAUGCAGUCAAAUCAAUAGCAUAUGUAACUAUUGUUUUUGUGGAUUCAGUUUGUCAAUACUCCCCUUGAGCUCUUUCUAUUAUUAGAAAAAGGGCAAUCAUAGUUUCCAGGGGGAAUUGUAUUCUCUUAGGAAUACAAGCUGAUACUAGUUGGUGUAAGUAUUAAUACAUGAUCCAUCCAGACAUCUAAUGACUCGUGGAUAACUCAAUGAAUCAUUCAACUCAUGGGACAGUAACUAAUGUAUACAUGUUUUCAUGUCAUACCCUCAACCCCCACCAUUUCUUUAUUUAAACUCUAUGUUUGUUUAGAUGCAAUUGACAAGUGCGUCUUCUUAAAAAAGUUUAUUUCUAACUUUUUAAUCUGCAUUUCUACAUAAAGUGCAACUUCCUGGCUGGCGAACAGCACCCCUAAAGGUUUCUAGAGGGGUCAAUCAAACCAGGAGAAAAUCCAGACUUCAGCUUUUUAAGGCUACAGAAAAGACUCUUUGUUGUCCAUCCACUGAUUUCUUUUAUUCUUCCAUUGUAAUGUGUUUUUGUUUGAUUGAAUUUUAGACUUAUAUUCUCCCUCAAUUUUCCUGGCUCACUGUGCUUUCUCUUAUCCUGAACAGUCAUAGGUUGUUGCUGGUGAAAUACCCUUCAAAUCAGACUUAACCCAUAUGGGAGGGGACCAUUCUAAAAGGUCACGUAGGCUCCUCUUCCCAGAUAAUGCUUUUUAUACACUAUGUCCACUCCCUUCUCUUCUGAGCCUCCUAGCAUGUUUAGAGAUGUGCCUCAAUUGGGAAGGGUUUAGCCUGUGUUUGAUUUUUCCUCUUUGUUUGUUAAAUUUAGGAGAUAUUUGAGAUUUGUAUGAGUAUUUCUGCCCAUCAACUUACUAUUAGUCUGUACUAGUAGAGGAUACAUGUUACUAUGAGCCAUGUAUUUGCAUGCACUCAAGGGGAAGGGCAGGAAGAUAGGAAGGCAGCUGAGUUGAAAACAUGGCGAGAUGGGCAGGCUGGCAGAUGGAGAGAAAAGCUUUUCCUCGUGCAUUAAACUAGAGACAGAGUGGGUUAUGGGAGAAGUUUGCAGACAGGCAGGCAGCAAGAAAAACACAAAAGCAGACACGAGAAAAGAUAGCCAGCCAGGUGACAUCUUAUCCAGAGUCAAACUCUGGUGUGAUAAUAGGAGGAAAUGUGUUAAUGCAGAGGGAUGGGGUGUUUGGUGGUGACUGUUAUUGUAAGGCGAGCAUAACGCUGUGCUUCACAUCCCAUUAGCAGAGACAGACCUAGAGCACACCCCCAGCUUCACUUCCUCCUGCAGCUCUGAUGUGUUUUCCACCUUCCUGUACCUAUGACACAGUUGUCAGCUGCUCUCCUAUUUCAGAAACCAUUAAAAGAGCCUGUGUGUAUCAGCAGAGGAUCCCUGAGCACAAGGUUUGUGUUCCUAAUGAAGUCCAAGUACAAACCGUUAUUUAUGACAGAAGCUCUGCAUAGUGAGUAGGGGUGGGAGAAAAAAUCAAUACAGUAUAGUAUUGUGAUAUUUUGUCUGGUGAUAUAUCGAAUCAUCCCAUAUACCAAGUAUCAAUUUUUCUAAUUAAUUGCUAAUAUGAAGUCAAAUAUAUGAUAAUAAAAAAUUAAAAUCAACUGUUUGUCCAGUGAGGUUGGCAGAGGUGACAUCAUACAGCAGGAGAAAGUUAGUGCAACAAAUGUAAGGUUUGUAAGAUGUACUACAUGGAAAUAAAAUACAGAGUACAGACAAAAAUAAAGAUAAGACGAAUGCUAAUUUAGCUAAACAGUUGAAAAAACUAUAAAUCACAAUAUAUUGUAUCGCAAUACUCACUGCAUUGGAAAAUGUUAAAAACCUCAAUAAUACCGUAUUGUGGCCCAGGUAUUGUGAUAAUAUUGUAUUGUGGGGCCACUAGUGAUUCCCACCUCUAAUAGUGAGGAUCACAGUUAAAGGUACAGUGUGUAUUAUUUAGAAGCAUUUAGCAGAACAGACUUUAGAAAGCUGGAAUAUGUUAUUCAUGAGCUAUAAAAAUCAUUCUGUAUCUGAUAACUUAGAGUCGUUUUUAUCCACUAGGCCAUCAUCUUACACCACUAUGUUUUUGACCUGAGCAUAGAACAGACAAACCAUCAUGGUUGAUAAAUGGAGGAUCACACUCAUCAUGCAACUCAGGAGCCUCUUGUCCUUCAAGACCACUAUAGAUUCACUGAUGGAGGGUUGAGCAAGGGAGCAUCAAAAAUAUGACCAGUAGAUGUUUCUGUAUAUUCUGGUUGGCUGAUCAGUUUGGCUGAUGCUGAUAUUGAUAAUGAGAGAGCAAGCUGGCUGAUAUUUAUGCUGAUAUCACAUUGUUGCUAACUUCAGUGACAAUCUCAUCAAAAUCUGAUAUACAUGGUUGUCUUAGCCAAUGAUAUGUUUGAGGUGGAUUUUUGAUAAGUCAUUCGGAAGACAGAUAUUUGAGGUUAUGCUAUAUAUUGUUAGCUAUGGCUGUUAUUGCUGUCUGGGAAGGAUGUGUUAUCAUUUAGAAAAGAUGAUGUGAUAUUGACCUUGUGAGAACUGAUGAUGGGUAUGUCAAAAAAUGCCCACUAUAUGAAUAAUCAGCUGACUGAUUAAAAUAUAGUCUUUUCAGGGCUGCGCUUGUUUCUGACAGUUUUGUGACUGCAAGCCAGACUACAACAAGUACAAUCAAGUUUAAUAAAAUAAAAAAAAACAACAACAAACAAACAAAAAAAAAAAACAACACAAGUUAUCCCCCCAAGCAAGAGACCUCAAAAUGUCAGGCUGCAAAACUUUUUGCUGCUUUCUUUAGAAUAAAAGUUAACCAAUUGUUGUUUUCCAUGAGGUGUCAUUGGAAAGAAAAAGUGAAUACAAAAAUAUAUAUAAAAAAAAGUUUAUCAGAGAAGUACUCUAAAGUCCAGAGAGUUUGACCUCCUCAGCUGCACCAGGAAGCUUUUGUAUUUUACACUAUGUAAAUGGAGCAAACAUUUUGCUUCAAGAUUUGCAUUUCUCUGUCUCUGCUCUGUUACUUUCUUCGCUGCCCUGCAUGAGUGCUGCACUCAGACUCCCGCUCUUCUUCCUGGUAUCCAACUGCUGGCUCUGGGGUUUAGGAUUUUAUCUCAUCACUGCUCAGUUUUAGCAGUAAAAAUAAAACCUUGAUGUAGUGAUGGAGUUUGGGCCUCAAUGCCAAACUCAAAAGUGUCCCACUGCUGCAGUAAACAUCUGUGAGUCUCACUCAGUCCAUUUUUGGAGAUGCUAGGUGUUUUUUUUUUUGUGUGUGUGUAUGUUUGUUUUUUUCCCCAAACAUCUCUAUUUUUCUGUGACACUGAGAGAGUUCUGACACUGCAGGGAGACAAAGCUGAUAUAUCAGUGUAAGAUUUUAUCCUUAAACAAAAGUGAAAAUGCUCCUGCUGCUGUGUCUGAUGUCUAUUUUUGGGUUACAGUCCUUGAUGUUACUCCAGACUUUAUAUUUCACUGGCAGCUUCAAAGACGGGUAACUUUACUGGCACUUUGGCCGCCCUCCAGCCUGUCAAUGAUUGGACGUCUCUGUUGUUAAAUGUGCUGCCAGCUGAAAAACAAAAACAGACUGAAGUGCUACUAUGUUUGAAAGCUUUGCAUUGAAAAAUGGAAAGUUUUUUUUCCCUCCUCCUCUGGGAAUGAGGUUAUGUUUUGAUCCUUGCAAGCUGUCAUGCAGAACUGCUUCUUUCCUUUUCAUGUGACUCUAAAUGUGAGACAGCUUGUUAGGUUUCACUGACUGGAAGACGCACUUGGUUUCCUGUAAAGGGUUUUUACGUAACGGCACCCCCUGACCUGGUGACAGCUAAGCAGGUCAAAGGACAUCAUAAAUUUCCAGAUCAAAAUGUAUGACUUAAACUCCAGUGGGAAUUCUGCAUCCUGUCUGGUCAGAGAAUUAAUCUGUAGUUUAAUCCCUCCUCCCGCAGCUAUACCCCAAUCCCUCCAUCCAUUCACCCAUCUGCUUCUUCACCCAUCUGUCCACCCAUCCAAUCAGACAGCUUGCUUUCCUUAAAUGCAUUUACUUUGCAGACAUCUUUUCCUUUUUCUGCACUUGUUCUCUCCAAAGAUCCUGAGACAGGGCUGUUUGGGAGGAUGUUUGAUGGUGCACUGCGUGCAGGUUUUCCACACGAGAUAUUGCAGUUCAAUGCAACACAACCACGUCUAUCUGUACUUCAAGCUUUGGCCCGCCGGAGCUCCUCCUUAUCAGCAAAUGUCAUUUCCUCUUUGUUGUCUCUUGCUUUGGAUCACAUAAGGCAUUUCCUUUUUCCAUUCAGCCAACAAAGCAAGAAUACUAAGAGCUCCUCUGUUACUGCUGCAGGAAAUAAGGACUAAAAAAUGACUGUAAUUUAGUUCAAUUCUCCUCUAAAGCACAGAGACGUCUGCGCCACUGUGUAUUUAAUCUUAAUUCUUUCUCAGUUCAGAGACGAUCCUUUAACGUAAAGAGGUUUAGACUGCUAGACUCCCUGCUUCUAAUAUGAUGGAGUGUGACUGUUAUGGCACUUCAUCAGGGAUCAAACAUAGUCUUAGGUUUGGUUAUUGAUUUCCUCUUGCCUGAAUGGCUGCAGUUAAUUUGUGGUUGUGAUCCAGAGUUGAAAUAUCCUCAAACUCC
rnacentral:lncRNA from 1 species